rnacentral:rRNA from 1 species
UCCGGGGAUAACAGGCUGAUACCGCCCAAGAGUUCAUAUCGACGGCGGUGUUUGGCACCUCGAUGUCGGCUCAUCACAUCCUGGGGCUGAAGUAGGUCCCAAGGGUAUGGCUGUUCGCCAUUUAAAGUGGUACGCGAGCUGGGUUUAGAACGUCGUGAGACAGUUCGGUCCCUAUCUGCCGUGGGCGCUGGAGAACUGAGGGGGGCUGCUCCUAGUACGAGAGGACCGGAGUGGACGCAUCACUGGUGUUCGGGUUGUCAUGCCAAUGGCACUGCCCGGUAGCUAAAUGCGGAAGAGAUAAGUGCUGAAAGCAUCUAAGCACGAAACUUGCCCCGAGA